UCUGGCCAGGGUUGGAAUAAGAGGUC
rnacentral:piRNA from 1 species